CACAGGAUGAGGGGGUGGGCACUGUCUGAAAAAGCAACCCACAACAGAUGGAUCUGGAAUAACUUGCUUCCGCACAAAAUUGAAGGAUUCUGAAAAGGUCAAGUCCAAUGUAUGAUCAGCAGUCUCAAUCACAGAAGGCUGAACUGAAACCCUGGGAGCCAUUGUCCUCACUGUAAUACCGCACCUCACCUGCAAAAAAAUACCUACAUGCUUGGAGAUAAUCUGCAGAACAGAUGCCAAACUGUUCAAUCCAUGCUGCCUUCGAUCCAAACCUGAAACCGAUUCAACCUCAAUCAUAGAACUUCAUUGUACAGAUGAUGUCAGUAUGUGCUCUCACAUAGAAACGGAGUUCCAAGUCAUUGUCCUCCUUCAAAGCAUUUGAAAAAGAAGUGGACCUUUCUUGAAACACCCAGAAAGCUAAGG